CCUACGGGAGGCAGCAGUGAGGAAUAUUGGUCAAUGGGCGCGAGCCUGAACCAGCCAAGUCGCGUGAGGGAAGACGGCCCUACGGGUUGUAAACCUCUUUUGCCGGGGAGCAACGUGCGCCACGUGUGGCGCCACUGAGAGUACCCGGAGAAAAAGCAUCGGCUAACGCCGUGCCAGCAGCCGCGGUAAUACGGAGGAUGCGACGGUUAUCCGGAUUUAUGGGGUUUAAAGGGUGCGUAGGCGGAGCGUUAAGUCAGUGGUAAAAUUUGGGGGCUAAACCCCUUCCCGCCAUUGAAACUGGCGCUCUUGAGUGGAAGAGAGGUAGGCGGAAUGCGUGGUGUAGCGGUGAAAUGCAUAGAUAGCACGCAGAACCCCGAUUGCGAAGGCAGCAUGCCGGCUUCCGACUGACGCUGAGGCACGAAAGCGUGGGGAUCGAACAGGAUUAGAUACCCCUGUAGUC
rnacentral:rRNA from 1 species